UGGGGAAUUUUGCGCAAUGGGGGAAACCCUGACGCAGCAACGCCGCGUGAGUGAUGAAGGCCUUCGGGUCGUAAAGCUCUGUCAGAGGGAAAGAAGUGCAGUGGUGCUAAUACCAUCAUUGCUUGACGGUACCCUCAAAGGAAGCACCGGCUAACUCCGUGCCAGCAGCCGCGGUAAUACGGAGGGUGCGAGCGUUGUUCGGAAUUAUUGGGCGUAAAGCGCGUGCAGGCGGUCUUUUAAGUCUGAUGUGAAAGCCCCGGGCUCAACCUGGGAAGUGUAUUGGAAGCUGAGAGACUUGAAUACGGGAGAGGGUAGUGGAAUUCCUAGUGUAGGAGUGAAAUCCGUAGAUAUUAGGAGGAACACCGGUGGCGAAGGCGGCUACCUGGACCGAUAUUGACGCUGAGACGCGAAAGCGUGGGGAGCAAA
rnacentral:rRNA from 1 species